CACCAAGGCCAGGGCUUUUGCGGCGAGAACAAUAGUCGGCAUCUUGUAGCCUAGGCAACGACGGAACAGCCGUAAAACAGCACGUAAACUCAUCUAGAACUCAUGUUUUUAACCGGUAAAAUAUCGCUAAAAUGUCAAUAGAAAGGUGUUACGUCAUGUAAAUCUUUAUUUGUGUGAUUUUUGCUGUUUUAAUCUGGUAUCUUCGGCUUGGUUGACGCCGUUUUUGACGUUCCCUUGAAGUCACGUCACAGGCGAGCACCCGCUUUCGCGAGAGGGGGAGGGGCAAACGAGAGUAGAGAACGGUAACAUACGUGAAGAGCCACACAGCCGUUGGAGGGGCGAGACGCCGCAACAACUACACAUUUACAACAAAAAUAACCCAACUUUUAGCUAAAGGGUUUCGUUUUUGCGGCGCAAACAACGGCGACGAGCUUUAAAAAAAGAGUUUAGCCUGCAAUUCAUCCGUCAAAAAUUAUACUAUCGUAAGUUAAUUUUAGCAGUUUGCUAACUAAUUGAUACUUUUUUAGCGUUAAUAUCUAUCUGCCCGCGUGCGCUUUAGACGUCGAAGCUAAUUUUUUUCUCUCUGUUUUACGGUGAUAAACUGUCACCUUCCAGCUGAACUCUCCUCUGUCACCUGCAGAUUGAGAGACAGGGAUUACUUUUUCCUCUCUUUUUUGGGGUUUCCCCCACUUUUUAUUUUUUUUAUUUUUUAUCAUUAAUAAACACAACCAGGAGUGAAGUGUCUGUACACCGAGGAGAAGAAGAGCGGAGAGCAUCCAGAGUCAGGAGGCAGGCGAGCGGCUCAGAGGAGAGGACAACAACACAGAGCAUCCUCUCUAUUAUUGUUUUUUUUCUUUCACAAUUCAUCUAACGCACGAACUGCACACGCGUGGUUUAUUUACGGAAAGAGACUCAUCCACAUCGACUGCCCCUCUCCAGGGAUACCUGCCUCUGAUCUGUUUGCCCCACAUCCCCUGUAAUCAUCUUCUCCACUUUGUCCUGAUGAAGGAGGCUGACGCCAUCAAACUGUUUGUGGGGCAGAUUCCCCGGAAUCUGGAAGAGAAGGACCUCAAACCCAUUUUUGAGCAGUUUGGCAAGAUCUAUGAGCUAACUGUGAUUAAGGACAAAUACACGGGAAUGCACAAAGGAUGUGCAUUUCUGACGUACUGUGCGAGAGAGUCAGCGCUGAAAGCCCAGAGCGCUCUUCAUGAGCAGAAAACACUGCCGGGGAUGAAUCGGCCAAUCCAAGUUAAGCCAGCUGACAGCGAGGGUCGAGGGGAAGACAGGAAAUUGUUUGUAGGCAUGCUGGGAAAGCAACAGACCGAUGAGGAUGUCAGAAGGCUGUUUGAGCCCUUUGGCACCAUAGAUGAGUGUACUGUUUUGAGAGGACCAGAUGGCACAAGCAAAGGGUGUGCUUUUGUGAAGUUCCAAGGACACGCGGAAGCUCAGGCUGCCAUCAACAGCUUGCAUGGGAGUCGCACGAUGCCUGGAGCCUCAUCCAGUCUGGUGGUGAAGUUUGCUGACACGGAAAAGGAGCGAGGGCUGAGGAGGAUGCAGCAGGUGGCCUCCCAACUGGGCAUCUUCAGCCCCAUGACCCUCAACUUCCCUGCCUACAACGCAUACACACAGGCCGUCAAUGCACAGCUCGUUCAACAUCAGGCCUUGGUUGCGCAGUCAGCGUACUUGUCUCCUGUGGCAACAGUGGCUGCGGUACAGAUGCAGCAGAUGGCCGCGCUCAACGCCAACGGAAUCAUCGCCACACCCAUUACACCCAUAACACCAUCCUCGGGUACAAACACCCCACCAGCUAUUGCUGCAACCCCUGUGCCCGCUCUCCCACCACCAAUUGGAAUGAAUGGCUACAGCAGCGUGCCAGCUCCCACCAAUGGACAACAAACAGAAACUUUAUACACCAAUGGUGUUCCCCAAUAUCAAGCUCAAAGUCCAGCAGCCUUGGAUCCAUUACAGCAAGCCUAUGCAGGCAUGCAGCACUACACAGCGGCGUAUCCUGCUGCCUACGGAUUGGUUGGCCAGCCGUUUCCUCAACAGCAAACACUAGUUGCCCAGCAACACCAGCAGCCUCAGCAACAGCAGCAACGAGAAGGUCCAGAGGGAUGUAACAUCUUCAUCUACCACCUGCCUCAGGAGUUUAGUGACUCUGAGAUGCUGCAGAUGUUCCUGCCCUUUGGCAAUGUCAUAUCGGCCAAGGUGUUUGUGGACCGUGCCACCAACCAGAGCAAAUGCUUUGGAUUUGUGAGUUUUGACAACCCAGCCAGCGCCCAGGCAGCUAUCCAGGCUAUGAAUGGCUUCCAGAUUGGCAUGAAGAGACUCAAAGUGCAGCUCAAGAGGCCAAAAGAUGCCAAUCGUCCAUACUGAGUGAAGACUGACUAAAGGAAGAACAAAUCUAGAGAAUCUUCCGUCCAAUCAUAAUUCAGAGGACCCCAUCGCUAUGGCAAUGGUUGCCUAGUGACCGAUAAAGCCCUGACCCCCCCCUUCCUCUCGCAUUGUUGUGACUUCUCAGAGUCCAGCAGGGGGGAGGAAUCCAAGGGUUCAUGGCGCUUUCAGACCGUCUGCCACCUGUGAGCGCCUGCGGAGUGCUGCUGCGCACACACUCACGCCGAAACAAUUGCACUCUCAAUCCUGAACCUCAAAUGAUUUACAUGUACAUAAUGUGCACAAACAAAAAACAACAAAAUAACAACCAUGUGUUUCCUGAAGCUCACAUACAUAGAGUUCACACAUAUACUUUACCCAUAGAGCUAUUAGCUUGGUUUGACCAUAGUCUGUGUGGAGCAAAGGGUUUUCCACAACCAGGACAAGGGAGAGUAUUGAGAAAAAAACGCUGAUAUUUUAUUUCAAUAGACUUUAACAUUUCUAUAUCCUGUCAAUUACAUGGCAAAUAUAGACAAAUGUUUCACAAAAAUAUGGAAAAUACAAAAAAGACAAUAAGUGAGUAGGUUAGAAAGACUGAAGAUCCUAAUGACCUGUAAAUAGUUUAGUUUACAAAUAUCUGCAUAAAAAAAUGAAAAAAAAAGGAAAAAGAAUAUUACUUUAGAUAAAACCCUUAACAGGACACAGCAACAUAACGAUAAUGAUUAUUAUCAUUAUUGCUAUUAUUAUUAUUAUUAUUAUUAUUGUUAUUACAUCUAGUGUCAUCCUCAUUUUCAUGAGGAUAUUACAUUCCAAACUGUAAAAUGGGAAAUCAUAAACCUAUUUUAAAUUUCUACUUAGAGUUUAGCUGGGACAGGGGAUAGGGGGUGGGUGGGGGGGUUGCACUUUUAUUCAGGAGGUUUUAAUAUUUGAGCUAUUUUUUAUUUAUUUAAUAAUUUAAUGAUUAUUUUGUUUAUUGGGGGAAAAAAAGGUUGGGAUGCAAUAUUUUGAUUUUAGAAUUUUCUAGAGAAAAAAAAAACUUUUGAGGGCCUGUUUCUGUCAGACUCUUGCAAUCAACUAAUUAUUAUGUAUCUAUUAAUUAUUACAACUAUAUUUAUUUUUAAUUUAUGAAAUCCUGUUUUUGAUCCACUCUCUUUUUAAGUUUAAAUAAAAAGUAUCAUACUGAA